rnacentral:lncRNA from 1 species
AUAGAGCUAAGGACUGGUAAACGCAACAAAAAUAAAACCAAAACAUAUUAUGAACCAAAAUAACAAAUUAGACAUCCCAUUAACACAUAAAAAGAAUGUGCACUAGAUAGGUAUUGUCAUUAUAAUCCUUCCAAUUCCAUAAUUCCUAGCAUUCUUUACAGUCAUACAUGUUAGCAGAAAACCCACGGCGAAAAGAUUCGCUCUACUUUGAAUUAUAAACCGUGUAGAUAAAACUACCCAGAUGAGAGAAUAAAAUAGAAAAAAGAAGACGAAGAAAAUGCCAAAUCAAGAAUUACCCAUUUACAGGAAAACCUCAAGGACCCGACCCAAAAUGAGAAACCAAUCCUCUAACCGACCUUGAAUGCUACAUCCAUCAAUCCAGUAAUUUUGCAUCCACCAAAGAAUCAAUCCAAUAAACCACCUUCCAAAGAAUCCAUUGCAUAAAAUUGAUACCACUGAAAAGGAAUCAAGAAGAGCAAUUUUCAUAUCUAUCUUUGAUCUUCAAAAGCUGCCUUCUUUUGUAAACCAAGAACCCAACAACACCAAUCUGCAAGAUUGCAGCAAUGCCCACAAACAGUAACCCAAUCGCUUUCCCUGCGUUCAUGUUGUUAUUCUUCAUUGGUGGUGGUGGUUUUCUUCUCCUUCUAUUCUCAUUUACAGUCAAUCUAUGCCUCGGUGGCGGGGGUAACUGCAGCUUCUUUCUCGGUGGAGGUGGCGAUGAUCGUGAUAGUGAUGGAAGGUAAUAACGGUGAUGGUGGAGGAGGAGAUAGUGGUGGUGGUGGUGGUGGUGGAGGAGAUGGUGGAGAAGGGGGGGACAUCAAUGGGGCUGAUGAACGGCCAUUUAGUGGUUGUGAUUCAACAAGAAGCGAAUAGAAGGUUAAUAUAAGCCCUAAAAUCAGAGAGGUGGGGGUGAUUGAUGAUUUCGUUUCCAUGAAUCAGGAAAUUGGAUUGGAUUGGAUAGUUCAAGGGGUUUUAGCAUCCCAGAUUCUCGAGUUUGUAAUAAUCUAGUUAAAAUUCAAGAAUUUGGGCUCAUUCAAGAUUUAGGAAGCAGGGAGGGGGUUAGGGUUCAUUCAUUUUGGAAUCAAAUUAAAAGUCGGACACUUGAUUGAUGUAAUCUGUUUGUCUGAGACGAUCGAGUAUGUUUCUGUCAUCUUUCUCAGGAGGAAUGCAGGAGAGAGAGGGGGGGGUGGGGGGGAAUCAAGAAACAGAGAUUUUAACAAAGGAAAAGAGGAGGAGGGGGGAGGAGUUCUCUCU